CCCAGAUGUCCUCCUCUCACUGUUUCCACUUGUAUAUAGAGGGCCUGGCUAUGGUCUGCUGUGGUCUGAAUGUGUCACCCCUAAUUCGUGUGUUGGAAACUUAAUCCCCAAUGUAACAGUGUUGGAAAGUGGAGACUUUGGGUGGGUGUUGAGGUGAGGGCUCCACUCUCAUGAAUGGAUUAAGGGCUUGAAAGAGGAAUGUUGACUCCUUUUUACCCUUCCAUCUUUUGCCUUGUAGGCUGCAGCAAGAAGGUCCUCACCAGACGUCAGUGACUAGCUCUUGGACUGCCCAGCCUCCCGAACAGUGAGAGAGUAAAUUUCUGUUCUUUAUAAAUUCCCAGUCUGUGGUAUUUUGUUGUAGCAACACAAAUGGACUAAGUUCCUCAUACCCUGAGUUAUUUCUUACUGUGCUUGGAGAUCGGUCCUGGCUGCCGCUGGCCUGUUAUUUGGCAGCCCAUGCACUUUUCCAUCACAAAACCGGAGUGGAUUCCUGUCCGUUUCAACAACUUGUGAUGACACUGGAUAUUAUCAUGCCAGCUCUGCUUGUGAGUCUGUCUGAAAAUGAGCCAACUUUCGAACCCUGUGCGGUAAGGAAUGGUUCUUUCUUCAUGCCAGGUAGGUCCUGUUUCCUUCCAUUCAGCAUGUAUUUACUGAGUUCCUGUUGUGGCCAACUGCUGCACGAAAAGCACAGUGAGGGAGAACCAGAAGUGUAAAGCAUCCUCUCCUCAGGGAGCUGAUGCUCAGCUGUGGGGUGAGACAUACUUAUGCAGGAAGAGCCUCUGACUGGAGUUUGCCUGUCUGGUCUGGAGGAUUGGUGAGAGAAUUCACCGGGAGUCAACUUACUGUCUGGAUUGAGGAGCCACAUGAAUGAUGAGUUUACCUCAAUUAAGAAGACAGACAACGCAAUGACCUAGAAUCUGAAAGAAGGGACUACUUUGAUUACUGAAAAGUUCCUGGCCUGGCUUCUGUUAGUGAGCUAAAACAGAAAGAACAGAAAGAAUUGGAAGAGGCUAUUUCAAAGGUCCAGGAGCUGGGAGACUGCAGUUCACAGAAAGAGUGUCCAUAUAGCCAAGGAUAUUUGUGACUGUUAAUAAGAGCCCAGUUUUACCUUCACAUGGGCCUAUAAUAGAUAUUAUAUGGGUAAAUGCAUUAAAUACAAUGCCAUUUAUGCCAUCAGGACUGGGGCACACUGUAAUUGCCUUUGAAUUUCAGAAGAGGGAGAAGUCAUAGCGGACCCUGCUGUAGGACUUCCCUAAGAAAGAGAGGAUCUAAGCUCUGGAGUUGAUGUUCAACUCAAAUCUCUGCAAAAAGCAUUUCCCAAAGAAUUGUCAGAAAUGAAUUUUGUGCUAAUAGAAAGCGUCCUUUGAUAUCUCUUUGAGGAAAUAGUGACACUCAGGUUCAUUAUCACUCUUUGAGCUGAUGAUUUUCUGUAAAUGUGUAGGUACUUAGAAUUUCCUCUUGAAAAUUCUUCUUUUUUAUUUUAUUUUUUUGGGUCAGCUUUGUAAGGAUCAGGUUUGUGUCCAUAAAACAAAAUUUACUAUUUUUUUUACUGCAAAUUUAGAGAGUUUUGACUUGUAUAGUCAUGUAAGUAUCAUCAUAGUAAUGAUGUGGACAUUUUCCAUGACUUCUAGAAACUUCUCUCAUGGUUAUGUGCAGUCAGUCCUGUCCUCGUGUCAGCCACAGGCAACUGCUUUCCUGCUUUCUAUCACUAUA
rnacentral:lncRNA from 13 species